rnacentral:rRNA from 1 species
UACGUAGGGGGCAAGCGUUGUCCGGAAUUAUUGGGCGUAAAGCGCGUGUAGGCGGCCAGCUAGGUCUGCUGUGAAAACUCGAGGCUCAACCUCGAGCUGUCGGCGGAAACCAUCUGGCUAGAGUCCGGAAGAGGAGAGUGGAAUUCCUGGUGUAGCGGUGAAAUGCGCAGAUAUCAGGAAGAACACCUAUGGCGAAGGCAGCUCUCUGGGACGGUACUGACGCUGAGGCGCGAAAGCGUGGGGAGCGAACAGG